AACGAACGCUGGCGGCAUGCCUAACACAUGCAAGUCGAACGAGACCUUCGGGUCUAGUGGCGCACGGGUGCGUAACGCGUGGGAAUCUGCCCUUGGGUUCGGAAUAACAGCGAGAAAUUGCUGCUAAUACCGGAUGAUGACGUAAGUCCAAAGAUUUAUCGCCCAAGGAUGAGCCCGCGUAGGAUUAGCUAGUUGGUGAGGUAAAGGCUCACCAAGGCGACGAUCCUUAGCUGGUCUGAGAGGAUGAUCAGCCACACUGGGACUGAGACACGGCCCAGACUCCUACGGGAGGCAGCAGU
rnacentral:rRNA from 1 species